rnacentral:rRNA from 1 species
UACGUAGGGUGCGAGCGUUGUCCGGAAUUAUUGGGCGUAAAGAGCUCGUAGGCGGUUAGUCGCGUCUGCUGUGAAAACUCGGGGCUUAACUCCGGGCCUGCAGUGGGUACGGGCUGACUAGAGUGCGGUAGGGGAGACUGGAAUUCCUGGUGUAGCGGUGAAAUGCGCAGAUAUCAGGAGGAACACCAAUAGCGAAGGCAGCUCGCUGGGACGGUACUGACGCUGAGGCGCGAAAGCGUGGGGAGCGAACAGG